CGGUGCGAAAAUGGCGGAGAUCACAGUCAGCAUGCGAGCAUACUGUAAAUUGCUACUACAUGCCGCAAAAUAUCCUCAUUGUUCUGUAAAUGGCGUACUAUUAGCCGAAAAUUCUAAGUCUAAAGAACAUAGAAAUUUAAGAUUUGUAGACUGUGUCCCAUUAUUCCAUCUCACACUCGGCCUAUCGCCAAUGUUGGAGGCAGCACUUCUUCAGAUCGAUGGAUACUGUAAAAGUGCUGGAUAUGUGAUAGCAGGCUAUUACCAGGCUAAUGAAAACUAUUCAGAUUCCGAAUUGAACUGUAUUGCCCGAGUUGUAGGGAGAAGGGUCAGUGAGAACUGCCAGGACUCGUGUAUAUUUAUGAUUGAUAAUAAAAGAGUUUCUCCAGAAUCUGUUGCAGAGGUCUAUAGAACAUAUUCCUUAAAAGACACAUCUUGGAGAGAAAAUGAAAAAAGAUCAACAGUUGAUGAAGAGACAAUGGAGACAGCAGCCACGUUGCUCACAUCGGGUGCUUACACACAACUCACAGACUUUGAUAAUCACUUUGAUGAUUUGACAAAUGACUGGCUGAACACACCCAUCAAUGAUAUGAUCAAACGGUGUACAUGAGUACUGAACAGAACAACAUUAACAAAAUGCAGGAUUGAUAUUGCCCGGCCCUUUUACACUGGUAGGAGUUGGUGCAAUAUACUGUCCUUUCACUUAUGUGGAAUACUAUGGGUUAAAAGAAAGUGGUUGGCAAGUCAGACAAAUUCUUCCCAUACCUACCCUGCUUUUCCUAUCAGGAACUGUUCCUUCCUCUGAUCAAGACUAGUCCAUGGUGAUAGGGGUGGCAGGGUUCAUCUGAUAGGCUGCAGAAGAAAUUGGACAACAGAAUAGUUGACAUAUAUAAAAUCUGAUAGCGUUGUGUUCAGUUCUUUCUGGCAAUGAAUUCUUCAUUAGUGUGUGGUAGGUCAACUAGAGGCUGACAUUGAGGUGUGUGUUAGUGUGUGGUAGGUCAACUAGAGGCUGACAUUGAGGUGUGUGUUAGUGUGUGGUAGGUCAACUAGAGGCUGACAUUGAGGUGUGUGUUAGUGUGUGAUAGGUCAACUAGAGGCUGCCAUUGAGGUGUGUGUUAGUGUGUGAUAGGUCAACUAGAGGCUCACAUGAUUUUGUACCAUUCCAACCUAUUCUGUAUGAUAACUGGGUUUUCAGUUCAGGAGCCACAUGUAAGUGUUCAAUAAAGGUUGGAUCUUCCCUAUUCAACAUAGAUAUAUGUAUGUUUUGUUGCAAGUUUUGGCCAAAUUUUCAAGAAGUCUUUAAUAUUUACAGGUCCAUAAGGUUUUUACUAUCAGAAUACCAAACAAAUAAGGUGUUUAGCAAACACAUAGUAAUCAUUGUUGAUUGCUGGUACAGAGUCUAAAUCUGAAUGAGUCGGUAUACAGGUUCUUUAGCAGUAUGUGUUAUUUAAUUACAUGUAUAUAUAUACAAUGAGAGAGAUGGAUAUAUGUGAUACUUAACACCAUCUGUAAAUCACUAGAUCGCCAGCAACAUUCACUAGAAUUUAAAUUUGUGAAAGGAACAAGGACGGCUGUAUGUUUCUUGUUAAGUUCUAUUUGAUAUUCACAUGAUAUUUGAAUUCACUAAUGUCUACUCACAGCUUGUAGUUCAAAAACAUAUAUAUGGAAUGUGGUGAUUUAAAAAAAAAAUGCAGAUGUAAUUAUAUUUUGAUUUGUAUAAGAAUGCAAGUACUCAGAUGUUUAUUUAUAUAACGAUGUAGGUGUAUAUGUACUUGGAUGUAGAUUUACAUAAGUUUGUAGACAAAAGUACCCAGAUGUUGAUUUAUGUAAAAAUGUAGGUGUCAGUACCCAGAUGUUAUGUAUUCAAUACUUAUGCACACUUGUCAUUGUAACUACACAAAAUCACACAUUGAUUUAGUCCUGUAAAUUAAAUGUUGUUGUCAAUAUUGUCGUCCAGAACUUAUUUCAUCCAACAAUUUGUACAUUGCAGUCAAACCUCUUCUGAGUGACAAGCGUAACAUUUUCAACAUGAUUGUUAUACUUGUUUUGUUUGUGAUGCCCAUUAGCCCUUUCACCCCUAUGUAACUUCAGUAGACUCUUCCAUGCAUUGAUUUGGAUGAGUCCAUUAUGGUCUACAGUGGUGAAAGUGUUAAUCAAUAGCAUACAAAUUUAUUGAUAUGUGUGCUACUUGUCUUCAUACUUUGACUUGGUACAUAAUGCUAAAAUGAAAUUAUGAUAACUAAAAAACUGACCAUUAGAUCAGUAUUCCGUUUCUCCCAAAUCUAUGGCAAGUCACCACUAUUACUUUUACACAUUAUUUUGAUUCUGCUUUGUUUUUUGCCUGUUCCCUUUGUUUAGGUAGCAGGUUGUAUGCCAGUGAGCUGGUAUUGGAUUCAAUGUCAGGUUGUGGUUUGAGGUAUUCCCAUUAUUCUCUCUAUUCUUCAGCUUGUACUAUAGAUUGAGAAGCUCAGGAUUUAGUGCCAAUAAAAGGGUAUUUAGCAAG